UCCCUGGUAGCUCAGUCGGUAAAGAAUCUGCCUGCAAUGCAGGAGACCCAGGUUUGAUCCCUGGAUCGGGAA
rnacentral:tRNA from 1 species